CGUAGGGUGCGAGCGUUAAUCGGAAUUACUGGGCGUAAAGCGUGCGCAGGCGGUUUAGUAAGACAGGCGUGAAAUCCCCGGGCUCAACCUGGGAACUGCGCUUGUGACUGCUAAGCUAGAGUACGGCAGAGGGGGGUGGAAUUCCACGUGUAGCAGUGAAAUGCGUAGAGAUGUGGAGGAACACCAAUGGCGAAGGCAGCCCCCUGGGUCGAUACUGACGCUCAUGCACGAAAGCGUGGGUAGCAAACAGGAUUAGAUACCCUGGUAGUCCACGCCCUAAACGAUGUCAACUAGGUGUUGGAUGGGUAAAACCAUUUAGUACCGGAGCUAACGCGUGAAGUUGACCGCCUGGGGAGUACGGCCGCAAGGUUA
rnacentral:rRNA from 1 species